ACUACGGGUGGCAGCAGUGGGGAAUUUUGGACAAUGGGCGCAAGCCUGAUCCAGCUAUUCCGCGUGUGGGAAGACGGCCUUCUGGUUGUAAACCACUUUUGUAGAGAACGAAAAGUCUAUUGAUAAUACCGAUAGACGAUGACGGUACUCUAAGAAUAAGCACCGGCUAACUACGUGCCAGCAGCCGCGGUAAUACGUGGGGUGCGAGCGUUAAUCGGAAGUACUGUGCGGAAAGGGUGUGCAGGCGGUUUUGCAAGAUGGAUGUGAAAGCGCCGGGCUUAACCUGGGAAAGCGAUAGAAGACUGGAAGACUAGAGUGCGUCAGAGGGGGGUGGAAUUCCAAGUGUAGCAGUGAAAUGCGUAGAUAUUUGGAAGAACACCGAUGGCGAAGGCAGCCCCCUGGGACGUAACUGACGCUCAUACACGAAAGCGUGGGGAGCAAACAGGAUUAGAUACCCGUGUAGUC
rnacentral:rRNA from 1 species